rnacentral:lncRNA from 1 species
GGUCAUGGCCCAUCUUCCGAAGAUAGUAGAUGAAAUUCAGGUGGCUAACUCCCAAAGCUCAGAAUGGAAGCUUAAGAAAGAGAAAUCGGCAGAGAAGGAAGUCGAGAUAUUGACCAAAUUUGCUCCACUCGAGGGGUUCUCAAUUUAACCUUUGUGUUGUACAUUGUGUCUUCAUGUUGAUCCUACAUCUACUGUUACAUUCAUGUUUUUAACCCUCAGGAAUUUGAUCUACCCUUCCUUGCCAUUAGGGGUUUUCUUGUAGGUCAUCUAGUUUUCAUUAUCUCUUAUCCAUAGAGACGCAGAAAGGUGGGAGGAUCUUUGAUCCUUUAUUUUGUUUGAUCUAUGUAGAACUCUUUUCUUUUUCAUCCUAUGUAGGACUCUUUCAGUGUGAUCUUUCUGCUGUUUUAAUAAGAAAUGUUUAGGAGAACUAGCCAGAAGUGAGAGGCAGCUGAUUUGCAAUCAAGAUGCCACAACAAAAACAUCAUUAUUGUGUAUCGAGGGUAUGGUUUUGUGGUCAAUGACGCGAAUUGAGAGUUAUGAGUUUUCAGGUUCAAACUCCCGCUUCCAUAGGGGCCUGAACUUCACUCUAUCCCAACCUUUUGGUGGUUGUAAUAAAAUGAUGGGAUACACAAAGUGGAGAGAUGGAUUAGGAGCCCUUUAUAUAGUUUAUUAAAACAAAAUCAAUUUUUUUAAUUUUACCUAUAUAUAAGGCACAAUGAAGCAGCUGAAGCUGGCUGCUCAUAGUCAACAUGUCUGCUUCAAUGAUUUUACUAUAUUUAAAGUAGCCUGUUUUUGUUUCAAUCGUGAUUUUACUAUAUUAUCCUUGAAUAAUUAUUAUAAGUCAUUCAGCUGCUUCAAUCGUGAUUUUACUAUAUCACUUAUAAUUAAUUAUUCGAGAUAUUGACCAAAUUUGCUCCACUCGAGGGGUUCUCAAUUUAACCUUUGUGUUGUACAUUGUGUCUUCAUGUUGAUCCUACAUCUACUGUUACAUUCAUGUUUUUAACCCUCAGGAAUUUGAUCUACCCUUCCUUGCCAUUAGGGGUUUUCUUGUAGGUCAUCUAGUUUUCAUUAUCUCUUAUCCAUAGAGACG